UAGGAAGUCUCCUCUCGAUACUGCUGCA
rnacentral:piRNA from 1 species